rnacentral:rRNA from 1 species
UGGGGAAUAUUGGACAAUGGGGGCAACCCUGAUCCAGCAAUGCCGCGUGUGUGAAGAAGGCCUUCGGGUUGUAAAGCACUUUUAUCGGGAACGAAACAUUGUCGGCCAAUACCCGGCAAGACUGACGGUACCCGAGGAAUAAGCACCGGCUAACUCCGUGCCAGCAGCCGCGGUAAUACGGAGGGUGCAAGCGUUAAUCGGAAUUACUGGGCGUAAAGCGUGCGCAGGCGGUUUGUUAAGUCUGCUGUGAAAUCCCCGAGCUCAACUUGGGAAUUGCAGUGGAUACUGGCAAGCUGGAGUACGGUAGAGGAAGGUGGAAUUCCCGGUGUAGCAGUGAAAUGCGUAGAGAUCGGGAGGAACACCAGUGGCGAAGGCGGCCUUCUGGACCAGUACUGACGCUCAUGCACGAAAGCGUGGGGAGCAAACAG